AAUAAAACUAUUAAUCAUAACUUAAAGUCAUAUAAAACUUUAUAGUGCACUUUAACAAAGCAAUUCAGUGACUGGAAUUAGCUGAGAUGAAGGAGAGCAGACUCGUGGGUACCUGUCAUUCAAUCGACUGUCAUUUCAAGCACAUACAACCCUCCUCCACCCCGCCUUCCUCCGGCUCUUCAUCCAGUAGCUAGGUUCUACUCACAAGAAUCAACCCCGCCAUCAUCUCCAGGGUCCUUCUUGCUCCAUCAUCACCACCAGUCUCAAGACUCCAUGGGGGAUUUCGUGAUCUAUGCACAGCUUCAUCAACUCCACAAAUAUUACUUCAUCAAGAUGGAGUCUAAACAAAGACUUUCUCUUUGUAUGCAUGGCAAUAAAUCUUCAUGAAAUGUCUAUAAGCAUC